GCCAGCAUGGCAUAGUGGUUUAAGCACUGUACUAGAACUCUGGAGACCAGGGUUCAAUUCCCCGGUCAGCCA